rnacentral:rRNA from 1 species
AGUGAACGCUGGCGGCAGGCCUAACACAUGCAAGUCGAGCGGCAGCGCGGGGGCAACCCUGGCGGCGAGCGGCGGACGGGUGAGGAAUUCGUCGGAAUCUGCCUUUUUGUGGGGGAUAACGUAGGGAAACUUACGCUAAUACCGCAUACGUCCUACGGGAGAAAGUGGGGGACCGCAAGGCCUCACGCAGAAAGAUGAGCCGACGACCGAUUAGCUAGUUGGUGGGGUAAAGGUCCACCAAGGCGACGAUCGGUAGCUGGUCUGAGAGGAUGAUCAGCCACACUGGGACUGAGACACGGCCCAGACUCCUACGGGAGGCAGCAGUGGGGAAUAUUGGACAAUGGGCGCAAGCCUGAUCCAGCCAUGCCGCGUGUGUGAAGAAGGCCUUCGGGUUGUAAAGCACUUUUGUCCGGAAAGAAAUCCCUGGAGCUAAUACCUUCGGGGGAUGACGGUACCGGAAGAAUAAGCACCGGCUAACUUCGUG